UAGGGAAUCUUCCGCAAUGGACGCAAGUCUGACGGAGCAACGCCGCGCGAGUGAAGAAGGAUUUCGGUUCGUAAAACUCUGUUGUUAGAGAAGAACAGCGCAUAGAGUAACUGUUAUGCGUGUGACGGUAUCUAACCAGAAAGCCACGGCUAACUACGUGCCAGCAGCCGCGGUAAUACGUAGGUGGCAAGCGUUGUCCGGAUUUAUUGGGCGUAAAGCGAGCGCAGGCGGUCAAUUAAGUCUGAUGUGAAAGCCCCCGGCUCAACCGGGGGGGGUCAUUGGAAACUGGUUGACUUGAGUGCAGAAGAGGAGAGUGGAGUUCCAUGUGUAGCGGUGAAAUGCGAAAAUAUAUGGAGGGACACCAGUGGCGAAGGCGACUCUCUGGUAUGUAACUAGCGCUGAGGCUCGACAGCGUGGGUAGCAAACAGG
rnacentral:rRNA from 1 species